rnacentral:rRNA from 1 species
GAUGAACGCUGGCGGCGUGCUUAAUACAUGCAAGUCGAGCGAACAGACGAGGAGCUUGCUCCUCUGACGUGAGCGGCGGAGGGGUGAGUAACACGUGGAUAACCUACUUAUAUGACUGGGAUAAUCUCGGGAAAGCGGAGCUAAUACCGGAUAAUAUAUUGCACCGUAUGGUUGAAUAGUGAAAGACGGUGUUGGUGUCACGUAUAGAUGGAUCCGCGCCGGAUUAGCUAGUUGGUAAGGUAACGGCUUACCAAGGCAACGAUGCGUAUCCGAGCUGAGAGGCGGGUCGCCCACCCUGGAACGGAACCACGGUCCUUGCUCCUACGAUAGGCCGCAGUAGCCAACCUUCCGCAAUGGUCGGAAGCCUGACAGAGCGACGCCGCGUGUGUUAUAACAAUCUUCGGAUCGUGAAGCUCUCUUAUUAGUGGAAAACAGAUGUGUAAGUAACUGUACACGUCUUGACGGUACCUGGUCAGAAAGCCACGGCUAACUACGUG